rnacentral:rRNA from 1 species
GAUGAACGCUGGCGGCGUGCUUAACACAUGCAAGUCGAACGGGAAUUACUUUAUUGAAGCUUCGGUCGAUUUAAUUUAAUUCUAGUGGCGGACGGGUGAGUAACGCGUGGGUAACCUGCCUUAUACAGGGGGAUAACAGUCAGAAAUGGCUGCUAAUACCGCAUAAGCGCACAGAGCUGCAUGGCUCAGUGUGAAAAACCCCGGUGGUAUGAGAUGGACCCGCGUCUGAUUAGCUAGUUGGUGGGGUAACGGCCUACCAAGGCGACGAUCAGUAGCCGGCCUGAGAGGGUGAACGGCCACAUUGGGACUGAGACACGGCCCAA